rnacentral:lncRNA from 1 species
UUUGAAAAGCUGAGUUUUUAUUUGAGAUUGUUGAGGCCCAAAAAAUUCACGGUUCAGCCCAAGCCCAAUGCUAUACCUUACCAAGAAGAAACCCGAUUUGGGCACGCGAAAGUUAGUCAUAUGCACUUGCACACAUGCCACUUCAAGCAAAUAAGCAACACGCCACGCUACAAGCUUAAGUGGACCCAAACCACGCAAGAUGCCCUGGGCUUGCUUGAGUGGGUUGUGGUAUGGUUGGUAAUAAGUAGACAUGAGGCCCAUU